rnacentral:rRNA from 1 species
AUUGAACGCUGGCGGCAGGCCUAACACAUGCAAGUCGAAUGGUAACAGGAAACAGCUUGCUGUUUCGCUGACGAGUGGCGGACGGGUGAGUAAUGUUUGGGAAACUGCCUGAUGGAGGGGGAUAACUACUGGAAACGGUAGCUAAUACCGCAUAACGUCGCAAGACCAAAGAGGGGGACCUUCGGGCCUCUUGCCAUCAUAUGUGCCCAGAUGGGAUUAGCUAGUAGGUGGGGUAACGGCUCACCUAGGCGACGAUCCCUAGCUGGUCUGAGAGGAUGACCAGCCACACUGGAACUGAGACACGGUCCAGACUCCUACGGGAGGCAGCAGUGGGGAAUAUUGCACAAUGGGCGGAAGCCUGAUGCAGCCAUGCCGCGUGUAUGAAGAAGGCCUUCGGGUUGUAAAGUACUUUCAGCGGGGAGGAAGGGAGUAAAGUUAAUACCUUUGCUGAUUGACGUUAACCGCAGAAGAAGCACCGGCUAACUACGUG